AUUGAACGCUGGCGGCAUGCCUAACACAUGCAAGUCGAACGGAGAUAGGGGCAACCUUAUUUCAGUGGCGGACGGGUGAGGAAUGCGUCGGAAUCUGCCCUAUGGUGGGGGAUAACACAGGGAAACUUGUGCUAAUACCGCAUAAUGUCGAGAGACCAAAGCAGGGGACCGCAAGGUCUUGCGCGAUAGGAUGAGCCGACGCCCGAUUAGCUUGUUGGUAGGGUAAUGGCCUACCAAGGCGACGAUCGGUAGCUGGUCUGAGAGGAUGAUCAGCCACACUGGGACUGAGACACGGCCCAGACUCCUACGGGAGGCAGCAGUGGGGAAUAUUGGACAAUGGGCGAAAGCCUGAUCCAGCAAUGCCGCGUGUGUGAAGAAGGCCUGAGGGUUGUAAAGCACUUUCAAUCGUGAAGAAAAGUUGCAGGCUAAUACCCUGUGACCUUGACGUUAACGAUACAAGAAGCACCGGCUAACUCCGUG
rnacentral:rRNA from 1 species